rnacentral:rRNA from 1 species
CCAAGGAGUCUGACAUGUGCGCAAGCCGUCGCGCUACUUAAGCGUCGAAGGCACAGUGAAAGCAUUGGUCGGCUUUACGCCGGCCGUAGUUGGGAUCCCCUAACCUCUCGGGGCGGGGCGCACCAACCGUCCGCCUACUCCGUACUGUUCGGUGUGGCGGAACGUGAGCGGACAUGUCGGGACCCGAAAGGUGGUGAACUAUGCCUGGGCAGGAUGAAGCCAGAGGAAACUCUGGUGGAGGUCCGUAGCGAUUCUGACGUGCAAAUCGAUCGUCAGACCUGGGUAUAGGGGCGAAAGACUAAUCGAACCACC